UGGGGAAUAUUGCACAAUGGAGGGAACUCUGAUGCAGCGACGCCGCGUGAACGAAGAAGGCUUUCGAGUCGUAAAGUUCUUUUAUAUGGGAAGAUAAUGACGGUACCAUAAGAAAAAGCCCCGGCUAACUACGUGCCAGCAGCCGCGGUAAUACGUAUGGGGCUAGCGUUGUCCGGAAUCACUGGGCGUAAAGGGUUCGCAGGCGGAAAUGCAAGUCAGGUGUAAAAGGCAGUAGCUUAACUACUGUAAGCAUUUGAAACUGCAUAUCUUGAGAAGAGUAGAGGUAAGUGGAAUUUUUAGUGUAGCGGUGAAAUGCGUAGAUAUUAAAAAGAAUACCGGUGGCGAAGGCGACUUGCUGGGCACAAUCUGACGCUGAGGAACGAAAGCGUGGGGAGCAAACAGG
rnacentral:rRNA from 1 species